rnacentral:rRNA from 1 species
UACGGAGGGAGCUAGCGUUGUUCGGAUAUACUGGGCGUAAAGCGCACGUAGGCGGCGCAGCAAGUCAGGGGUGAAAUCCUGGAGCUCAACUCCAGAACUGCCUUUGAUACUGGAGAGCUUGAGUCCGGAAGAGGUGAGUGGAACUCCGAGUGUAGAGGUGAAAUUCGUAGAUAUUCGGAAGAACACCAGUGGCGAAGGCGGCUCACUGGUCCGGUACUGACGCUGAUGUGCGAAAGCGUGGGGAGCAAACAGG